rnacentral:lncRNA from 1 species
AGGCUGGGGUUCUUAACUGCGCUCAGACUAAAAUUAUACGACAGCAAGUUUUUGAUUUGAUGGACAAACUCAGACCUGAAGCAGUGGCUUUGGUUGACGCGUUUGAUCAUUCAGAUUACGUACUCAACUCUCCACUGGGACGCUUCGAUGGCAACGUAUACGAAGACCUUUUUAGAUGGGCUCAAAGGUCAGAGUUAAGUGAUGAACAGGUACAACCGGGCUACUACAAAUAUCUGCGGCCACUCAUGCAAACCAGCAAGUCUAAACUGUAAUAAUAUAAUAAUUAUGAUAUGGAUCAACUUAGGUAUCUUGAAUAUGUCAUUUACAGUAGCGUUUUAACACGAUUUUCUCGCACACAAACUUUAGGCGUGUUAGGACCGAGUGGGGUCCAGUUUGGUCUGUGAUCACACGUCAAGUGAUUAACAAAAGCAGACGACCACAAAGCGGGAGUCUGAUUUUUUUUUUUUUUUUUUUUUUUACUUUCCUCGAAAUUCUCUUCCUCGAAGUCAAUAGCAAACUGAAGAGGUAACCCUUAGCAAAUUCGUUCGUGUAUUCCACUUUAAAAGGCUAAUUGAAACUCAAGGGUUGAUAUCGUGUAGUGUGAUCGUCUGGGUGAGUGCAGUCUUAAGGACUGUUAUCGUUCGUAAUGACUGACGUUUUGACAACAUAAGCAGAGGUCAUCAUCAGAGUCAAGUAUAUUGUUGUUGUCAUUCGAGUUUCUUAAGUCCGGUUCGCGUGAACUGAUUGGUUAGUUUAGCCGUCAUGUUAAUGGCUAGAAGACUCAAGUGGUGUAAGUCGGUCGUGAUUGGUCGGUUUCAAUCCGUCAGUAAUGUUAGGUCGAUCUUUUCGGUUUGUUUGUGGUGUACCGUGAACGUGCAGAUUCUUUUUAAUCUUGAAACGUUAAAAGGCUUAGAUUAUGAUUUCGUUGUUGUUGCUUUUUUUUGUAAAGUAUACAAGUCAAACAUUGUUAAGUGACAAACGACAGUACCCAAAAAACGACAAAAAUUAAUGAAAGCAACAUUUUGUGGUCACUGUGGUAUUUCUUCCUGCAGGUUUCGUAGUUGAUGAAAGCAAAAUAUACAGGAACAAAUAGCAUGUCUGACACACUUUAUUGCUUUAAAAUGGAGUUUUAACUCAACAUGUCAAGGCUACAACGUUAUUGCAAUGAAUCCUGCCCUACAAAACUGAACAAAAUAAUAAUUAUUCAAGGAGAAAAAUUAUAUUUACAACGGUAGCUUAUUAUAAGCACUACUAUUAUAGUUAAAAUACUUAAAAAACGGGCUGCAAUUCAGGAUUAAAAGUUGCAUUUAGCAUUUCAAUAUAGAAAAAAGAAGUGUCACAUCUAAAUCAUAAUUUCCUAAUAAAAUGCAAAUCUGGCCUAUUAUUAACUAAUAUUACCACAUUAAUUAAUUAUAGCAUUAUAAUCAUUGUCAUAAUUAUGGUAUUAUAUUAUUACCCAUAUCUUCAUGAACAUCAAAGCUACACACUGCAAGAAAUUUCAUGCUGCCACGCCUCUGUUCAGUAAUAACAGAUGAUAUCAAAAUGUGGUAAGAUUUCAAACCACAUUGUGACGUCAUCUCUAACCAUAUUUUUUAUAUUUAUAUAAUAAAGAAGCAAAAUAUCA